UGGCCUCUAGAGUACACCUGGG
rnacentral:piRNA from 1 species